AGUGAACGCUGGCGGCGUGCCUAAUACAUGCAAGUCGAACGAAGUGGCGCGCGGGUGAGUAAUAUAUAUUUAAUCUGCCCUACACAGAGGAACAACAGUUGGGAACGACUGCUAAUACCUCCUAGUUUAGGAUGAGACUAUAUGGUGUCAGCUAGUUUGUAAGGUAAUGGCUUACCAAGGCUAUGACACGUAACUGGUCUUAGAGGAUGAUCAGUCACAUUGGAACGGAGACACGGUCUAAAGUCCCACCGGAGGCAGCAGUAAGGAAUAUUGCGCAAUGGGGGAAGACCUGAGGAAGCAACGGGGCGUGGAGGAUGAGACUUUUGGGAGCGUAAACUCCGUUUAUAAGGGAAGCGGUACCCGAUGCAGAAGCCCCGGCUAACUCAGGUCCCGCAGCCGGGGUAAUAC
rnacentral:rRNA from 1 species